rnacentral:rRNA from 1 species
AGUGAACGCUGGCGGUAGGCCUAACACAUGCAAGUCGAACGGCAGCACAGUAAGAGCUUGCUCCUACUGGUGGCGAGUGGCGGACGGGUGAGGCAUAGAUCGGAAUCUACUUUUUCGGGGGGGAUAACGUAGGGCAACUGACGCUAAUACCGGAUACUACCUACGGGUGAAAGCAGAGGAGAUUCGGACCUUGCGCGAUACAAUGAGCCGAUGUCGGAUUAGCUAGUUGGCGGGGUAAAGGCCCACCAAGGCGACGAUCCGUAGCCGAUCUGAGAGGAUGAUCAGCCACACUGGAACUGAGACACGGUCCAGACUCCUACGGGAGGCAGCAGUAGGGAAUAUUCGGCAAUGGGCGCAAGCCUGAUGCAGCCAUACCGCGUGAGUGAUGAAGGCCUUCGGGUCGUAAAGCCCUUUUGUUGGGGAAGAAAAGCUGCGGGUUAAUACCCCGCUAUCCUGACGGUACCCAAAGAAUAAGCCCCGGCUAACUUCGUG